CUUUGUGUGACAUAAUUUUGGAACAGAGAACAUUUACAAAGGGAGGAUUCAUCUGAGUCUGGGUUGCUGCUAGGAAGACUUUCUGGAGGAGUGGAAAGUCAGAGUCCGCUCCCAGGAAGACUGCUGCUGACCAGAGGCGAGCCGACCACUGGGAGCUGGCAGCUCUGCUCUGUCUGCUGAAAAAGAGAACCAUCUCCAAGUUGAGGAGGCAUCCCUAAUCCCCAGAGCGACGACCAGAAGUUUCCUAGAAGCCUCAGUAUUACCUGAAGUCCGUAGUGGAUGGACACACUGCCAAAGGCUGCAGUGAUGGGGAUUGGCCAGAAGAUGGAGCCAAAUGCCCUGAAAACCUAAGUUUGACCUUGCAAGAACAGUGGAGUAAGUUGCCAUUUCCUCCUCCAUGGGGAUCCUCCCGACCCAGGAAUCUAAGCCACGUCUCCUGCAUUGGCGAGUGGAUUCUUUAUCACUGGAACUACCCAGGAAGCCCUGAAGAACCAUGGAAGAAGGAGACAUGGGUUCAGUGCCUGGUCGGGGAAGAUCCCACAUGCCGUGGAACAACUGAGCCCAUGCACCACAACUACUGAGCCUGUGCUAUGGAGCCCAGGGGCUGCAGCAGCUGAGCCCGUGUGCUGCAACUACUGAAGCCUGCACCCUACAGCCAGUUCUCUGCAACAAGGGAAGCCACCACAAUGAGAAGUCCACCCACGGCAACUAGAGAGUAACCCCCACUCGCCACACCUGAGUAAAGCCUGAGGAUCAACGAAGACCCAGCACAGCCAAAAAUAAGUAAAAUUAUUUCUUUCAAACGGGUGUGGAAAUACUUUUGUGCAAGUUUUAUACACAGGGAAGGUGAUACAGUCAUUGCCAUAUGACUUUGCCCACAUCAGCAAGGACUUGCCAGAAGCUGACUGCUUUUAUGGUCCUGAUGAUUUGUCUAGGUGUGUGGUAUUAUGGGCACUGGGACUGAAAAUAUGAGCCAGGGCAUCUUUUGGGGUAGGGAGGAGAGCAGAAGGCAAGAAGGAGACUUUGGAGAAACCCAGAAUUCAGAGGAAUAUCAUUUGGUUUGCAAAUGCUUUGUUUGAGAUCCCAGAGCUCUUCCUGCUAGUCUCUACGUUAAAUCUCACUAUUGUGGGGUGGGGAUCUGAAGUCCGCCCAGCAGCCUGAAUUCAGGAUGAGGGAAAUAAGCAGAUCUAGCUGAUUCAGACUGGUUGGGAUGGCCAGAAUGAAGCUUGUUCUGGCGUUUACUUCCCCUGCUGCAUCUCUCAAGCUUGCAAACCAGAGAUGUUGGCUCCUUUAAUCAGGAAACAGGACCACAGAUGGGGACAGUGUGGG
ensembl:lncRNA